rnacentral:rRNA from 1 species
UACGGAGGGGGCUAGCGUUGUUCGGAAUUACUGGGCGUAAAGCGCACGUAGGCGGCUUUGUAAGUUAGAGGUGAAAGCCCGGGGCUCAACCCCGGAAUUGCCUUUAAGACUGCAUCGCUAGAAUUGUGAGAGGUGAGUGGAAUUCCGAGUGUAGAGGUGAAAUUCGUAGAUAUUCGGAAGAACACCAGUGGCGAAGGCGACUCACUGGACACAUAUUGACGCUGAGGUGCGAAAGCGUGGGGAGCAAACAGG